rnacentral:rRNA from 1 species
UCCAGAGGUCUCAAGCGUUGUUCGGAUUCCUUGGGCGUAAAGAGCUCGUAGGCGGUUUGUCGCGUCUGCUGUGAAAACCUCAGGCUCAACCUGGGGCUUGCAGUGGGUACGGGCAGACUAGAGUGCGGUAGGGGUGACUGGAAUUCCCGGUGUAGAGGUGAAAUUCGUAGAUAUCGGGAGGAACACCGGUGGCGAAGGCGGCGAUCUGGGUAGAUACUGACGCUGAGGUGCGAAAGCGUGGGGAGCAAACAGG